AUCUUAUAAAUCUAGCUUUGUGUCAUAUUUGCUUAAACUGAUCCUAUGUUCGAGUAGAACUACAUGAAGCAGGUCAUUAAAAAAAAA